rnacentral:rRNA from 1 species
UACGUAGGGUGCGAGCGUUGUCCGGAAUUAUUGGCGUAAAGAGCUUGUAGGCGGUUUGUCGCGUCUGCUGUGAAAAUCCGGGGCUCAACCCCGGACUUGCAGUGGGUACGGGCAGACUAGAGUGUGGUAGGGGAGACUGGAAUUCCUGGUGUAGCGGUGAAAUGCGCAGAUAUCAGGAGGAACACCAGCGGCGAAGGCGGCGCUCUGGGCCGGAACUGACGCUGAGGAGCGAAAGCGUGGGUAGCAAACAGG